GUUUUUGAACAAAUAAUUUAAGUGAAAGAAUCGUUCGUUUACUUCAAUUUAGCAUAAUAUACUAGCACAGUACUCAUGUUUGACAGAAAUAGUAUCAUGCUAUAUAAGCUAUUCCAAAUUUAAGAGUAUGGAAGCGAACGAAUGAUUCGUCUACUUAAAAGAGUUGAUCAAAAACACGCAUUCGUUCUCGCGCAGUUUUGCAUCCGGGACUUUUCGAGGUUUGCACCUGCUUUUAGGUGGGGCCCUUAUGUGUGUGGAGACAGGAGGCCUCAUUGUUCCUGUAACUGGCCUCAUCUGAAGAAGCGUCCCUGUGCUCAAUUAGUCAAGAGUCCAUUCCUUGAAGUCAUAUUCUGUCUGGAACAAGAAAGCACUUUUUCCCAUGGCGAGCCUUUUAACCUAUCUUGGCGACAGCUACACCUCACUGUAUAAAAAUAAAUAAAUAAAGUAAAUAACAACUAACAGC
rnacentral:lncRNA from 1 species